AAAGCGUGCGCAGGCGGUUUUGUAAGUCUGUCGUGAAAUCCCCGGGCUCAACCUGGGAAUUGCGAUGGAGACUGCAAGGCUGGAGUUUGGCAGAGGGGGGUAGAAUUCCACGUGUAGCAGUGAAAUGCGUAGAUAUGUGGAGGAACACCGAUGGCGAAGGCAGCCCCCUGGGUCAAGACUGACGCUCAUGCACGAAAGCGUGGGGAGCAAACAGGAUUAGAUACCCCUGU
rnacentral:rRNA from 1 species